rnacentral:rRNA from 1 species
CAUGGAGGGUGAGAAUCCCGUUCGGUUAAUCAUUGCGUUUUACGAUACGCUUUCAAAGAGUCAAGUUGUUUGGGAUUGCAGCUUAAAAUGGGAGGUAAAUUUCUCCUAAGGCCAAAUAUUGGCGAGAGACCGAUAGCGAACAAGUACCGUGGGGGAAAGAUGAAAAGCACUUUGAAAAGAGAGUUAAACAGCGCGUGAAAUUGUUGAAAGGGAAACGAUUGAAGUCAGUCGUACCGACGAGUAAUCAGCCUUUCGGGUGUGAUUUUGCCGGACACGGAGAGCUUUACCGCAUUCGUGCUUGUAAAUUUGUGCCCUUUGGGUGUACUUUCUCGUAUGGUUAGUUAACAUCAAUUUUGGUCGUUAUAAAAUGACUGGAGUAAUGUAGCUUCGAUCUUGUAUUGAAGUGUUAUAGACUUUGGUAGAUGUAACGAUUGGGAUUGAGGAUUGCAACGAAUACCCUUUGGGCUAUCCGUCUGACCUCUGAAAGUCGCUCGGGUGUCGAAAGCGUGCUUAUGACAUUUUAGUUGGCGGUCAAAAGGUUAGAACGCGAUUACAUUCGUUAAGGAUGUUGACGUAAUGG